rnacentral:hammerhead_ribozyme from 1 species
AUCCAGCCGACGAGUCCUAAAUAGGACGAAACGUGUGUCCUGAAU